rnacentral:rRNA from 1 species
AGAGUUUGAUCCUGGCUCAGGAUGAACGCUAGCGGCAGGCCUAAUACAUGCAAGUCGAACGGGAUUAGGGAGCUUGCUCCCUACGAGAGUGGCGCACGAGUGCGUAACACGUAUGCAACCUACCUUCAACAGGGGGAUAGCCUUCCGAAAGGGAGAUUAAUACGCAAAAAAUAGGGGAGGGGCCCCUUUUUUUUUUAAAAAAAAGGAUAAAGGGGGGAAGGGGGGGGCUUCCCUCCAAAUUAGUUAGUUGGGGAGGUAACGGCUCACCAAGACAUCGUCUGGGGAGGGGAUUUGAAAAGGAUUGCCCCCCCCGGUGGAAAACGGGGGUACGGGGCCAGACUCCUACGGGAGGCAGCAGUGAGGAAUAUUGCACAAUGGGCGCAAGCCUGAUCCAGCCAUGCCGCGUGGGUGAUGAAGGGCGCGGGGGGUUGUAAAGCCCUUUCGGCGGGGAAGAUAAUGACGGUACCCGCAGAAGAAGCCCCGGCUAACUUCGUGCCAGCAGCCGCGGUAAUACGAAGGGGGCUAGCGUUGCUCGGAAUCACUGGGCGUAAAGCGCACGUAGGCGGGUCGCUAAGUCAGGGGUGAAAUCCUGGAGCUCAACUCCAGAACUGCCUUUGAUACUGACGACCUUGAGUCCGGGAGAGGUGAGUGGAACUGCGAGUGUAGAGGUGAAAUUCGUAGAUAUUCGCAAGAACACCAGUGGCGAAGGCGGCUCACUGGCCCGGCACUGACGCUGAGGUGCGAAAGCGUGGGGAGUAAACAGGAUUAGAUACCCUGGUAAUCCCACGCUGUAAACGAUGUCAACUGGGUGUCGGUAGUUUUACACUAUCGGUGCCGAAGCCAACGCGUUAAGUUGACCGCCUGGGGAGUACGGCCGCAAGGCUAAAACUCAAAGGAAUUGACGGGGACCCGCACAAGCGGUGGAUGAUGUGGAUUAAUUCGAUGCAACGCGAAAAACCUUACCUACCCUUGACAUGGUUGGAAUCCCGAAGAGAUUUGGGAGUGCUCGCAAGAGAACCAAUACACAGGUGCUGCAUGGCUGUCGUCAGCUCGUGUCGUGAGAUGUUGGGUUAAGUCCCGCAACGAGCGCAACCCUCGCCCUUAGUUGCCACCCUUCAGUUGGGCACUCUAAGGGGACUGCCGGUGAUAAGCCGCGAGGAAGGUGGGGAUGACGUCAAGUCCUCAUGGCCCUUACGGGCUGGGCUACACACGUGCUACAAUGGCGGUGACAGUGGGAUGCGAAGGGGCGACCCUUAGCAAAUCUCAAAAAGCCGUCUCAGUUCGGAUUGCGCUCUGCAACUCGAGCGCAUGAAGUCGGAAUCGCUAGUAAUCGCAGAUCAGCACGCUGCGGUGAAUACGUUCCCGGGCCUUGUACACACCGCCCGUCACACCAUGGGAGUUGGUUUGGCCUUAAGCCGGUGCGCCAACCUGGCAACAGGGGGCAGCCGACCACGGCCGGGUCAGCGACUGGGGUGAAGUCGUAACAAGGUAACUUGUUUU